rnacentral:rRNA from 1 species
UACCUCAGUAACGGCGAGUGAAGCGGUAACAGCUCAAAUUUGAAAUCUGGCUCUUUCAGGGUCCGAGUUGUAAUUUGUAGAAGAUGCUUCGGGUGUGGCUCCGGUCUAAGUUCCUUGGAACAGGACGUCAUAGAGGGUGAGAAUCCCGUAUGUGACUGGUUGCCUUCGCCCAUGUGAAGCUCUUUCGACGAGUCGAGUUGUUUGGGAAUGCAGCUCUAAAUGGGUGGUAAAUUUCAUCUAAAGCUAAAUAUUGGCCAGAGACCGAUAGCGCACAAGUAGAGUGAUCGAAAGAUGAAAAGCACUUUGGAAAGAGAGUUAAACAGUACGUGAAAUUGUUGAAAGGGAAGCGCUUGCAACCAGACUUGCACCCCGUCGAUCAUCCUCCGUUCUCGGGGGUGCACUCGGCGGGGUUCAGGCCAGCAUCGGUUUCGGUGGUGGGAUAAAGGCCUUGGGAACGUAGCUCCUCUCGGGGAGUGUUAUAGCCCUCGGUGCAAUGCCGCCCACCGGGACCGAGGACCGCGCUUCGGCUAGGAUGCUGGCGUAAUGGUUGUAAGCGACCCGUCUUGAAACACGGACCAAGGAGUCUAACAUCUAUGCGAGUGUUUGGGUGUUAAACCCAUACGCGUAAUGAAAGUGAACGGAGGUGAGAACCCUUUAGGGUGCAUCAUCGACCGAUCCUGAUGUCUUCGGAUGGAUUUGAGUAAGAGCAUAGCUGUUGGGACCCGAAAGAUGGUGAACUAUGCCUAAAUAGGGUGAAGCCAGAGGAAACUCUGGUGGAGGCUCGCAGCGGUUCUGACGUGCAAAUCGAUCGUCAAAUUUGGGUAUAGGGGCGAAAGACUAAUCGAACCAUCUAGUAGCUGGUUCCUGCCGAAGUUUCCCUCAGGAUAGCAGUGUUGAAUUCAGUUUUAUGAGGUAAAGCGAAUGAUUAGAGGCCUUGGGGCUGAAACAGCCUUAACCUAUUCUCAAACUUUAAAUAUGUAAGAAGUCCUUGUUACUUAAUUGAACGUGGACAUUCGAAUGUACCAACACUAGUGGGCCAUUUUUGGUAAGCAGAACUGGCGAUGCGGGAUGAACCGAACGUGAAGUUAAGGUGCCGGAAUGUACGCUCAUCAGACACCACAAAAGGUGUUAAUUCAUCUAGACAGCAGGACGGUGGCCAUGGAAGUCGGAAUCCGCUAAGGAAUGUGUAACAACUCACCUGCCGAAUGAAUUAGCCCUGAAAAUGGAUGGCGCUUAAGCGUACUACCCAUACUUCACCGCCAGGGUAGAAACGAUGCCCUGGCGAGUAGGCAGGCGUGGGGGUCCGUGACGAAGCCUUGGGAGUGAUCCCGGGUAGAACGGCCUCUAGUGCAGAUCUUGGUGGUAGUAGCAAAUACUCAAAUGAGAACUUUGAGGACUGAAGUGGGGAAAGGUUCCAUGUGAACAGCAGUUGGACAUGGGUUAGUCGAUCCUAAGAGAUAGGGAAACUCCGUUUUAAAGUGCGCACUUGUGCGCCGUCCCUCGAAAGGGAAGCCGGUUAAUAUUCCGGCACCUGGAUUUGGAUUCUCCACGGCAACGUAACUGAACGCGGAGAC